AGCUAGGACUGAACCUAAGGGAUGAAUUACAUUGAGUCUCAUGAAGAAAUGUGUCAGGCAUUGAGCAUGUUUCCUGGUAUGGAGAAUCAGGAGACCUCUACAGUUUAUCUACUGUCUACUUGAAAAAUGACAACAGUAUCUUACUGUAGCUUCCAGUGCAAACUUAGAGUGACGCACAACAGAAGACAAAACAGAUGAUAAAGAUGCUAAAUAACGAAGGGAUGCCGGAGAAGGAAAAAGCUUACCUUGCUCAUCCAGCAAGCAAGUGGCAGAAUCCCAUGCCAGGCUGGUGUGAUCUGACUGGAACAGAGGGGAUUUUUUCUGGAAGGAAAGCGAAAAGGUACUUAAACUUCAUGAAGAGGUUUGAGUCAGUCAUUGGGGAUCAGUACUGCCAUACACCCCUUAAAAGGAAAGAUGAAGGAUGUCUUAGUCUGACACCGCGGACUGAAAAUGGAAGCUCAUUUAUAUUGGACCACAAGGCUAAUGCAUGCCAACAUACUUAACAUUUGUCUAUUUAUCUAUUUGUUUAUUCAAAUAUUCGGCGGUUAGGUUGGGAAGAAUAUUACAUUUUUUUUUAAAUACACAUUUGUAAAAAUGAAUCAAGCAUCGUCAUAAACAAUUUCCCUUCUUUAACCAGAUGUUUUAUUUGGAAAUGCUACUUUAUUUUGUAUUGCAUUAUAUAAAAGCACGCCCACAUAUAUUAAAUAUUUCUUUCAAUGUAAA